UGAAGAAAAGUUAGACGUGCCUCUGU
rnacentral:piRNA from 1 species